UGAUAAGGACUGUACUUCUCCUAUUGUUCUCGCCUUGUAUACAUUAUAAAGGGAAAUGGUGUAAUUAAAUAUAUAUUCGAUUCCGGUUUGCAACUCUCUCAUAUGAAGUUAAUAGUCCAAGGCAUGAUCCUCAUUGCUCUUGUAUUCCAGCUAUUUAUUUACGGACGUAUGUAAUCAUUUCAUUAACUUAUUACAAAUCACAUGUAAUGUUUCAUAAAACCUUUAGAUCAAAUUGGUGGAGUCGUUGAAUUUCCAAAUACCAUAGUUAAAUACAAAGAACUAUGUCCAUUUCAUUUUUUUUACUAUGAAAAAACAAAACUUUGCUAUUACAAAUCCACGACUCCGACGGAAUAUGAGGAUGCU
rnacentral:lncRNA from 1 species